GGAGUUAAGACGUGGCGGUGCACAUAAGACAUAGCAAGGUACGAACGGGAAUCGUUAUUAAUGGAAAUAAGAUUUAUCUGAAAUAAGUUAAUAACAAUGAUUUUAGUGCGGACUGGUGAGUAACACGUAAGCAACCUGCCAUUAGAGGGGAAGUAACAGUGAGAAUCAUUGCUAAUACCGCAUAAGCUGACAAUAUCGCAUGAUAUAGUCAGAAAAGGAGAAAUCCGCUAAUAGAUGGGCUUGCGUCCGAUUAGCUAGUUGGUGGGGUAAAGGCCUACCAAGGCAACGAUCGGUAGCCGAGCUGAGAGGCUCAACGGCCACAUUGGGACUGAGAUACGGCCCAGACUCCUACGGGAGGCAGCAGUCGGGAAUAUUGCACAAUGGAGGAAACUCUGAUGCAGUGACACCGCGUAUAGGAAGAAGGUUUUCGGAUUGUAAGCUAUUUUAGACAGGGAAGAAAAAAGACAGUACCUGUAGAAUAAGCUCCGGCUAACUACGUG
rnacentral:rRNA from 1 species